GGUAAGUUGUGGAAAGGAGCCGGGGUAAUAGGAAGGGGGCAAGUGUUAGUCGGAAUUACGUGGGUGAAAGCGUGCGUGGGUGGUUGUUUAAGUGUGUCGUGAAAGCCCUGGGCGCAACCUGGGAACUGCGAUGGAAACUGGGCGACUAGAGUGUGGUAGAGGGUAGCGGAAUUCCUGGUGUAGCAGUGAAAUGCGUAGAUAUCAGGAGGAACAUCCAUGGCGAAGGCAGCUACCUGGGCCAACACUGACACUGAGGCACGAAAGCGUGGGGAGCAAACAGGAUUAGAUACCCUUGUAGUC
rnacentral:rRNA from 1 species